CAUGAGAUUAUUGAAAUAAAUGCUGAUUGGGAGGUUUCCCAGGUGGACAGCUAAAAUACGCAUGGCACGCGCUGACUCUCACAUCCCACCUUCCACAUACUUCUGGCUCUGAUCAGGGCAGAUACAUUUUCCUACCUGACAGUGGGCUGUACGUCAAGAAGUGUGUUUUAACAGUCACCAGCUUUCUGCUCCUGUUUGCUGCUGUCUCAGGCAAUCCUUCACCUGCUGGGACACCAGACCCGCAGCCAUUUGGCACAGAGAGAGGUGGCACUUAGCAGCAAGGUCAAUUUCUGUUGACCAGCUUCUGUAACCCACAACUCGAAGAGUUUGAAUGAUAAGGCGCAUUCUUCAUCCUCCGUGCACCAUGCAUCAUUGCACAUGAAUAACAGUUGAGGAGAGCGCAUUCCCUGAAUCCGGCCGGAAGUGGUUUCCUAGCCUGAGUUGGCCCAGACUGAUUGCUAUUCCAGCUCAGACUGGCUUGAGGGCCAGGAUUCAAGUGAGUCAACUGGUUUUCAUGGCUCUGGCUACAGGCACCUAGUUCGGGGGAUCUGUUCACCCUGGGCAGAGUUGAAUGAGAAGCCUGACACGGUACCUCCUCACCGUCCCUGCUGGAGAGGAGACAGCAGCGUCUCGCUGAGCAGGACUGAAGGAACGUGCUCUAAUGCCUGCAGAGGACUUGUACGCUCCAAGUGCUUGCUAGGGGAGAGGAAAACCGCCUGAUCUCACUGGGCUCUGUCCCUCCUUACUGUGGCUUGAAGAAGCAGCCCUCGCCUCCAGCCCCAGGGCAGGUCCUGUGUCCUGGUUGGUCUGUGCCAGUACAUGGCGUUCUCUUGGCAAGGAAGGUGACCCUGUGUGAUGGACCUUCGAGCGGGUGGAAUCCUUCACGUCAUACUCCUCACUGCCCUGGCGAAGUUCUUCUAACCCUCCGGGGCCAUUUGCUACUACCUCCUCCCCUGAGGCUUCUCGGUCCUUGCUGAAAGCUGCAGUCUGCCGGCCUCGCUCAGCUAACUACCCACUACCGCGCGAUGGUCUCUUCAGGUGCGGCCUGCAUAUCGUUCCAGCCACAAGGCCGCGUCCUCGUUCCUUCCCAUCACCAGGACGCAGCACCGACACCCACAGUUUAGAGGAGCAGAGGUGUGUUUGGGUUCACGUCUUCACUCCACGGUUGGCUGGUGCGAGGCAGGAAGAGCGAAGCGGAAGGGUCUGGCAGAGAGCAGCUGUUCCUGUCAUGGUGGCGGGAAGCAGAGAGACUGGAGAAGCCAGGCCACGGCCCCAGGGACCCCUUCUGCUAACCACCUCCUAGCAGUAUGGUCAGCUAUGACCUCUUCAGCCAUGGAUUAAUCCAUCCGCAGGUACUGUCCAGUUUCAAAGCGUUCUCAUCGCCUCCGAAGCAAACUGCAUCAUUAAGCAGCCGCUCUCCACCCUCUCACCCUCCCUCCCUCCAGCCCGGGCAACCUAGGAGCUGCCUCUUCUGGAACUUCACAUCAGUGCGUUCAUAGAGCUUUGGCAGUCUCCGCCUUACUUGAUGGAGAGCUGUAUCAUCAUUACCAAUGGAAAUGACUGGCAUCUACCUCUUGGGUGAUACAGAAGUAUUCAGGGUGCUACACAUCUGUAAUCCCAGCACUUGGGAGGCUGAGGCAUGAAAUCUGAGAUCAAGCAAGCCCUUGUCUCAAAAAAGAAAAAGAAAAAAAGGAUGCCAGAUACUUAUGCAGUACUCUUUUCAUGUUUGACUUGAGCCCCUGAAGGAUGUAGAGCAAACUUCAAGUUUAUAGGCUAUAGAAGGGCAGAGGAAAAUAAAGAAGACAAGAGGAAAUACCCCUGGAAAUUCAGAGUGUGGGAUGGUCCAGAAGACAGCUGGCCUGCGCUCUUCACAAAGCGUGACAGACAGAGUUAUGUGUCAGCUCUACAAAGCCAUGACAAAGGCCACUUGCUUGCAGACGGGGUGGCAUUCUCCUCGGGAGACAACCCUGCGAGCCACAGGGGCUGGGAGACCUGGGUGGCUGACAAGACCCCUCUUCGUCUGCAGACAGAGCUUCCUGGUACCAUGCUAGGUACCAUGAAUGUGUCAACAUUCUCGCGGUCUGUCUGGGUAGAUGAACAGGUACCCUCUCCAACAUCAUGUGAAACAGCAAUUGCAUGAUACAGGAUUGAUGCAAGGCUUGACCCUGCUUCACAGAGGCAGAGGCUGGUCUUAAAUUCACCGUGUAGUCCUGGCUGACCUACAAUGUGUGGCGAUCCUGCUGCUUCAGCUUCCUGAGUGCUGGGAUUACAGGCGUGUGCCAGCACACUCAACUUCAAUUUUUGAAAAGGAAAAAAAAGCCCUGCUGCAAAAUUUUACUCCAGCUUGGGGUUUUCAUCUUGUCUUUUUAUUAUUCAUAUACAAAUGUGCCCAUAUCUAUGCCUGGUUUGGUUUGCAUAAAAAUUGGGAUUAUAUGCUGUUGUGUGUUUCUUUUUAAGAAGACUUAAUAAUAUACCAAUGAUAUCUCUUCAUGUAAAUAUAUAAAGAUUUGAUUUUUUAUUUUUAUUUAUUUAUUUUUUUUGAGAU